AAAAGAGGAAAAAGGAGGGCUUUUGUAACCAAGAGCAAUAAUGCUAGGAAGGGAAAAUGGGAACAGACUAAGCAACACAGAGAGUAGGAUACCCCAAAAAACCCAGCACAGAUCUAUGUGGUGUCUGAAGAUGGAAAAGCAUUGCCUAAAUUAAGAAAGCUUUCUUCCAUCUCAAUAAAUGAAAUGUAAAAGUUAGACUCUCUCCUGCAGAAAAGUCUAACUUGUCUGGCUCUUCAAAUGUACUUGAAAAUGUUAUCCACUUCCCUUUGCAGUGAAAUGGUUUCACCUCCCAGGGGCAUGAAGCUGAGAGCUCCUCAGUACCAAGCUUUCACGAGGCCACUCCUGCAGUCACCGCUGCUGAAAGCUUCAGGCUUCAGGGCCAAAAUCCUUCAAGAAUUCCCUCCAAAGGAGAAGAUAAUGUGAUGUAACUUCUUUUACUAUUUAGCUAGUAGAUCAAAGGGGAUAAUGAAGGAUGGCUGCACACACCAGAACCCAUUCAAUGUCAGCAGCAGGAUGACUGAGAGCAAGAUGGCUGGAAGGGAAAGGGACUGGGGACUGCCACCUCUCUUCUGGCAUUGGCACACAAUGAAAUUGUCUCAGGAUGUCUCAUGGAAGCACUGUCUUAAUGCAAGUACUUGUUAGAAGGAAAAUGGAAAUCAAAGACAGAACUGGAAAACCUCUGUGUCCUGUUUGGUGUUUCUUUGGAAGGUGUGGAUAUAUGGAGACAAGCUUGAGGGAUAGGAUCUCGUAUGUCUGCAGAGGAUUUAAUGGGUGAAAGAAGUGUGUGCAUAUGCAGCAGCUGCAGCACACACUGGAGCAAGUGGAUGUAUAAUCUAUUUGGAGAUAACUGGGUAGUUCUCUCACCAGUGUAUGGGGCUGACUGCAUGCUUAGUAGCUGCAAAGUAUGUUUACAGCAAGCGUGCUAUUUUUGAAGAGUUCUGUACUUAACAAUGCAUGGCAAGAGAGCACAGCACACAGCUGCUCCUGCUAGGCUGCUUCAUGUUCUGCAACUGCAGAGCACGCUUAGUCCUGACAUCUGAAGUUUCCAGACAUGAAGCAACAACUUCAGAAAAGUCUGCUUCCUAUAGCUAUCCAAAUUCCAGAAAGCUCAGAAAAAUUUAUGAACUUUUCAAAAUCUGCCUAAAUGGGAUUUCCAGACAGAAAGAGUAAAUGUGUUUGGGAAAAAGAUGCCUGCAACUUUCAGAAAGUCCUUCUCUACCUGUAGAAACCUGAG
rnacentral:lncRNA from 1 species